CUGAUGGCGAGUGGCGAACGGGUGAGUAAUGCAUCGGAACGUGCCCAGUCGUGGGGGAUAACGCAGCGGAAGUUGUGCUAAUACCGCAUACGAUCUAUGGAUGAAAGCGGGGGACCUUCGGGCCUCGCGCGAUUGGAGCGGCCGAUGUUAGAUUAGGUAGUUGGUGGGGUAAAGGCUCACCAAGCCAACGAUCUAUAGCUGGUCUGAGAGGACGACCAGCCACACUGGAACUGAGACACGGUCCAGACUCCUACGGGAGGCAGCAGUGGGGAAUUUUGGACAAUGGGCGAAAGCCUGAUCCAGCAAUACCGCGUGCAGGAAGAAGGCCCUCGGGUUGUAAACUGCUUUUGUACGGAACGAAACGGCGCGCUCUAAUAAAGUGCGCUAAUGACGGUACCGUAAGAAUAAGCACCGGCUAACUACGUGCCAGCAGCCGCGGUAAUACGUAGGGUGCAAGCGUUAAUCGGAAUUACUGGGCGUAAAGCGUGCGCAGGCGGUUUUGUAAGACAGGCGUGAAAUCCCCGGGCUCAACCUGGGAAUUGCGCUUGUGACUGCAAGGCUAGAGUACGNUAGAGGGGGGUAGAAUUCCGCGUGUAGCAGUGAAAUGCGUAGAUAUGCGGAGGAACACCGAUGGCGAAGGCAGCUCCCUGGAUCUGUACUGACGCUCAUGCACGAAAGCGUGGGGAGCAAACAGGAUUAGAUACCCUGGUAG
rnacentral:rRNA from 1 species